GAUGAACGCUAGCGGCAGGCUUAAUACAUGCAAGUCGAGGGGCAGCAUGAUUGUAGCAAUACAAUUGAUGGCGACCGGCAAACGGGUGCGGAACACGUACACAACCUCCCAAUAAGUGGGGAAUAGCCCAGAGAAAUUUGGAUUAAUACCCCGUAACAUAACGAUGUGGCAUCACAUUGUUAUUAUAGAUUUUUCGCUUAUUGAUGGGUGUGCGGCUGAUUAGAUAGUUGGCGGGGUAACGGCCCACCAAGUCUACGAUCAGUAGCUGAUGUGAGAGCAUGGUCAGCCACACGGGCACUGAGACACGGGCCCGACUCCUACGGGAGGCAGCAGUAAGGAAUAUUGGACAAUGGACGCAAGUCUGAUCCAGCCAUGCCGCGUGAAGGAUUAAGGUCCUCUGGAUUGUAAGCUUCUUUUAUAAGGGACGAAAAAAGGCUUUUCUAAGUCGUCUGACGGUACCUUAUGAAUAAGCACCGGCUAACUCCGUGCCAGCAGCCGCAGUAAUAC
rnacentral:rRNA from 1 species